GAGUUUGAUCAUGGCUCAGGAUGAACGCUGGCGGCGUGCCUAAUACAUGCAAGUCGAACGAGUUCUCGUUGAUGAUCGGUGCUUGCACCGAGAUUCAACAUGGAACGAGUGGCGGACGGGUGAGUAACACGUGGGUAACCUGCCCUUAAGUGGGGGAUAACAUUUGGAAACAGAUGCUAAUACCGCAUAGAUCCAAGAACCGCAUGGUUCUUGGCUGAAAGAUGGCGUAAGCUAUCGCUUUUGGAUGGACCCGCGGCGUAUUAGCUAGUUGGUGAGGUAAUGGCUCACCAAGGCGAUGAUACGUAGCCGAACUGAGAGGUUGAUCGGCCACAUUGGGACUGAGACACGGCCCAAACUCCUACGGGAGGCAGCAGUAGGGAAUCUUCCACAAUGGACGCAAGUCUGAUGGAGCAACGCCGCGUGAGUGAAGAAGGCUUUCGGGUCGUAAAACUCUGUUGUUGGAGAAGAAUGGUCGGCAGAGUAACUGUUGUCGGCGUGACGGUAUCCAACCAGAAAGCCACGGCUAACUACGUGCCAGCAGCCGCGGUAAUACGUAGGUGGCAAGCGUUAUCCGGAUUUAUUGGGCGUAAAGCGUGCGCAGGCGGUUUUUUAAGUCUGAUGUGAAAGCCCUCGGCUUAACCGAGGAAGCGCAUCGGAAACUGGGAAACUUGAGUGCAGAAGAGGACAGUGGAACUCCAUGUGUAGCGGUGAAAUGCGUAGAUAUAUGGAAGAACACCAGUGGCGAAGGCGGCUGUCUGGUCUGUAACUGACGCUGAGGCUCGAAAAGCAUGGGUAGCGAACAGGAUUAGAUACCCUGGUAGUCCAUGCCGUAAACGAUGAAUGCUAGGUGUUGGAGGGUUUCCGCCCUUCAGUGCCGCAGCUAACGCAUUAAGCAUUCCGCCUGGGGAGUACGACCGCAAGGUUGAAACUCAAAGGAAUUGACGGGGGCCCGCACAAGCGGUGGAGCAUGUGGUUUAAUUCGAAGCAACGCGAAGAACCUUACCAGGUCUUGACAUCUUUUGAUCACCUGAGAGAUCAGGUUUCCCCUUCGGGGGCAAAAUGACAGGUGGUGCAUGGUUGUCGUCAGCUCGUGUCGUGAGAUGUUGGGUUAAGUCCCGCAACGAGCGCAACCCUUAUGACUAGUUGCCAGCAUUUAGUUGGGCACUCUAGUAAGACUGCCGGUGACAAACCGGAGGAAGGUGGGGAUGACGUCAAAUCAUCAUGCCCCUUAUGACCUGGGCUACACACGUGCUACAAUGGAUGGUACAACGAGUUGCGAGACCGCGAGGUCAAGCUAAUCUCUUAAAGCCAUUCUCAGUUCGGACUGUAGGCUGCAACUCGCCUACACGAAGUCGGAAUCGCUAGUAAUCGCGGAUCAGCACGCCGCGGUGAAUACGUUCCCGGGCCUUGUACACACCGCCCGUCACACCAUGAGAGUUUGUAACACCCGAAGCCGGUGGCGUAACCCUUUUAGGGAGCGAGCCGUCUAAGGUGGGACAAAUGAUUAGGGUGAAGUCGUAACAAGGUAACC
rnacentral:rRNA from 2 species